GAUGAACGCUGGCGGCGUGCCUAAUACAUGCAAGUCGAGCGAACAGACGAGGAGCUUGCUCCUCUGACGUUAGCGGCGGACGGGUGAGUAACACGUGGAUAACCUACCUAUAAGACUGGGAUAACUUCGGGAAACCGGAGCUAAUACCGGAUAAUAUAUUGAACCGCAGGGUUCAAUAGUGAAAGACGGUUUUGCGGUCACUUAUAGAUGGAUCCGCGCCGCAUUAGCUAGUUGGUAAGGUAACGGCUUACCAAGGCAACGAUGCGUAGCCGACCUGAGAGGGUGAUCGGCCACACUGGAACUGAGACACGGUCCAGACUCCUACGGGAGGCAGCAGUAGGGAAUCUUCCGCAAUGGGCGAAAGCCUGACGGAGCAACGCCGCGUGAGUGAUGAAGGUCUUCGGAUCGUAAAACUCUGUUAUUAGGGAAGAACAAAUGUGUAAGUAACUAUGCACGUCUUGACGGUACCUAAUCAGAAAGCCACGGCUAACUACGUG
rnacentral:rRNA from 1 species